rnacentral:rRNA from 1 species
UACGUAGGGGGCAAGCGUUGUCCGGAUUUAUUGGGCGUAAAGAGCGUGUAGGCGGCCAGGUAGGUCCGCUGUGAAAACUCGAGGCUCAACCUCGAGAUGUCAUCGGAAACCAUCUGGCUAGAGUCCGGAAGAGGAGAGUGGAAUUCCUGGUGUAGCGGUGAAAUACGUAGAGAUUGGGAAGAACACCAGUGGCGAAGGCGGCUAUCUGGACGGUUUCUGACACUAAGACUCGAAAGCGUGGGGAGCAAACAGG